UGGCGGGCGCUGUUGCCUUCACCAUCGUACCCAUUUUACAGAUGAAGAAACUGAGACACACAGAGAAGCGGGGGAACGUGGCCAAGAUCUCACAGACAGGUCUUGGCGUCGGCCAGGAGACGUCCAGAGCUGGACUGACAGCACCAGCCAUCACCUUGUGCCCAUGGCCUGUGUCACCAAGUGCCAUGAUUCUGCUUCCGGAGGAAUUCAACAUUAACAACCCCAACCAAAGACAGCAAACCCAGCCAAUGACUGAGAUCUGUUCUAGCUCUGUUUUGUACACAUUUCUAGAGCACAAGCUAUGUGACAGGAUAUACUGGGUUCUGUCCUUGUCCCUAGAAGGGAAAUCACAUAGACAAGUUGGACGAUAAAGAGAAGUAUAAAGAAGAAAAUAAAAUUACCUUAAAUCCAGGGUUAAUGAAAUCACGUCGGUGUGUU